rnacentral:tRNA from 1 species
GGGCGGGUAGCUCAGUGUGAGAGUGCUCACCCACCAUGUGUGAGGUCCUGGGUUCCAUCCCUAACCCCCCCC